ensembl:lncRNA
GGGGCCUUGAAACAGUGAGCUGUCUUUGUUCGAAAUACAGGUGAACGGCAAUCAUGUGAUUAACACACACACACAUAAAAAGCUUUUUAACAGCGCCCGCCCGGCCUCAGAGCCGCCCAGAGAGGAGCCGCCCUGGACGGACAGAGGGACGGAGGGACGAGCAUCCCGUUGGUCUUGUCCGGCUGCCCGUGGCAGUCUCCAACACCCGCUGUGGCCCGUCCGCCGCCCGCUUGCCUGGCAUCCCUCGAUCCCGGCCCGGGUCUCUCUCUCCGGCCCAUGAGGUGGGUCUGGGCAGGCCUUGUUGCUCCUGUUUGACAGAUGAGGCCACUGAGGUCCACAGCAGGUAAGGACUUGCCCAGGUGACCAGCUUCUCCAGGGCAUAGUCAGGCCUGGAAUUUCCUUGGCCCUGGAUCCCAGAGUCUAGAGGUCUCUGGGAGGGAGGCGGUAGGGGUUGGCUCAAGCUCGAUGCCCCAGGUUCUCCUGGGGAGGGCCAGCCUCUGCGGGACUAGAUGGGUGGACAGGCCCGGAUGCUGGGAGUCCUGGGGAUGAGGACGUGCCCAGUGGGUCUUGCCAGGGCAAACCUUGCUGGGCUGCCUGGCCUCUUGGGUUGAGCCCCAUUCCGGGGUGCGCUGGGGGGCAGGGGCGUGGCCCAAGGGAGUGGGAGAGACUGGGGUGGCGGAUUUGUGUUUCCACUUGAUUUCCUCAGUUGUUUUCCAAGAGCGGUGGCAGGAUCCCCAGGGGCGGGGCGGGGGCGGAGAGGCCACCGGAAGGCGCCACGGCCCCGCGGCCCGCCCCCCAUGUGACUCUGCUGGCUGACGACAGUGCCGCGUGGAACGGCCUCGAGGCUUCCGCCCCGGUGAGGGUGUGACGUGGGCCCGGGCACCGUGCCCGCGCUGGGUGACUUCCCGCGUGACCCGCAGCGUCUCCAGUGCUCUUUCCACUCAGCCCAGCCCUCAGCCUGUGAGUGCCCGCGACCGCCGCCUGACCCCUGCUCCCAGCACCAGCCUAGGGCCUGGCACCGGGGACCCCAGUUCUCCCCCUCCUCCUGUGGCCAGCUCCCCCUCUUUCUGCUGCCUUGCCAUGGGCCAUCAGCCCCCUGCCACCCUGGGCUCUGGCCCCACGGGUUGUCUUCUCUGCCCUCCAGGGCUGCCCGUGGGCCCUGCCCUCCAGGGCUGCCCGUGGGCCCUGCCCUCAGGCCCGCUCUCUCCCCUUUCACUCACCCCUACAUCCUGGGCCUCUUUGCACCUUCUCAGACCGGUUGUGGGAGCAGUGGGGUCAGCCACUCCCAGCUUCAGGAUCCGCCCCGACACCAGGAUCUGCCCUGCCACCUCCCGGUGGCGUGGUAGCACUUGAAUUUCAGCCCUUCUCUGGGUCCCAGGAAAAAGAGGUGCCCGGCACAGGGUGGGGCGGGGGAGGUAACAUAAGAGUUCACAGGCACCAGGCCUCUUGCAACGUUAGGAUCCCAGCUCUGACACCAGUCACGCACCCCUGAGCCAUGAGGAUCUCUCUCUGAGACCGAGUUUUCUCCUCUGUAAAAUGGGUGUAAUAAUAGUUCUUUCCCGUUGGGAUAGCACUAACUACUUCCAGGGGAGGGAUUCUCAACCUGGCUUGGGGCUCAGGGAGGACUUCCCAGAGAGGGUCUUUUUGCCAUACAGCUCUCAACAAUGGGUUGACCAGCAAAGACAUGGGGAGUGUGCCCCACAGGGAGGGUAGGAUUUGAGCAGAGGCCAGAGAUGGAAAUCCGGCUCUUUGAGCCCAAGGCUGGAAGGGGUGGAGGUGAAUCUCCGAGCUCUGGCCUAGAGGCUCUGGACUUCCCAGGAUCCCAACCCCAGCUGCCCCACACCACCUUGCUAACAAGGGCUCUGCCCUUCUUGUUCCUGUCUUUGUGCCUACAAGCCCUCCCUCGCCUCCUGGCCCUUGCAAACCCUCCCAUCCCUCAUGAUACGCACAACUUACUUCCUCCAGGAACCCCUAUCCCCUUCCUCCCCCAUUCCCUCUCUCUCCUGCCCCUGUUUUCCCUCUUUCCUCUGCAGCUCUGCCUGUUGCACAAAUCCACCAUGUUAGAUCAUUUUGUCAGGAGUGCACAGGCCUGGAAGCCAGCAGGAACCCAGUAUAAAGCCCCGCCGGCUCCCUGCGUGCCCAGCUUCCCACUCAUCUGAUCCUCGCCACCACCCUCUGGGACCAGAGAGGAGGGGGCCCAUUUGACAAAUGAAGAUGCAGAGGCUUGAGAAGCCAGGCUGCUUACAGCCAGUCAGGGUGGGGGUGGGGGAAGUCAGGAUCACAAGGGGCCUCUCUCUCACCCUACCAGGGUGGCUGCCAGGGCUGGGGUGCUUUCUGUUCAGUUGGAACGCCCAAGUCUGUCUUGCUUUGUCUUCUGGGUCUCACAGCCUCCCUGUCCUACCUGCUGAUGGCUCAGACAGUGAAGAAUCUGCCUGCAAUGCGGGAGACUUGGGUUCGAUCCCUGGCUUGGGAAGAUCCCCUGGAGAAGGAAAUGACAACCCACUCCAGUAUUCUCGCCUGGAGAAUCCCAUGGACAGAGGAGCCUGGUGGCUACAGUCCAUGGGGUCACAAAGAGUUGGACACACCUGAGCGACUAACACUUUCACUCCUACCCACUGGCCCCUCUGCCACCUGAAGCCCCUCGAUACUGUCACUACUUUCCGUAGUAUCUGCCCUGCUCCAGCACGCAGCUCUGGGCCUUAGAGGGGCCAGAGCUGAGGCCCCACAGGUGUGUCGGGAACACGCAGAGAUGCAGGGAAGGGCCUGGCAUUAGGGGUCAGCAGGUACUGCCCCUUCCAACUGGUGACCAAGCUCCAUCAUUCACCUCUCAGAGCCUGUCUCCGCCCCCUGAGGACUGAGUUGUACUCAGCAGACCUGCGAGGUCCAUGCGGUAUUACAGAUGAGGAAACCGAGGCUCUGGGAGGCCAGGGACCUGCCUGAGGUGGGAGCCAGGGCACUGAGCCCCUGGGUUUCUGGACUGUUUGCUGAUGUCACAACACAGGGGGACUGAGAGAGGAGGGUCCUGAGAGCCCUUUGUGAAGCUUCAAAAGCUGCCCAGCCUUCAUUCUUUAACUAGGGGUCCACAGGCAAGGCUUGUCCUUUAUUGGGUCCCCUUCGGGUGCCUGGGACUCCUUCAACUGUGAACUGCCCCCACCCCCGCAGGGCAACCUUGCUCUCUGUAGGAUCCUGUCUGGCUCAAAGACCAAACGCCUCAUUCUUAACACCUAGAAGGUGCUGGGCCAACAUUUACUCAGAGAAUGGUUGCACCUACGAUGGGAGGGUGGGCAAGCUGGGGAGGAGGAGCGCUAGGGAGGGGAGCACACAGGAGUUAGGUGGGUAUGACAAAAGUCCCGUUAGGUGUCCAGCUCUCACCCUUGACCCCUGCAGUUUAUUCCCCACAAGGCAGCCAAAGAGUCCUUGUUGAAAUGGAAUUCUGACCACACAAACCUUGCUCCAAGCUCCUGUGGGCACCCACGCGCCUGGGCUCUUCCAUCCUUCCCCAUGACUCGACCCCCUGAUGUCUGCUGCAGCCACUCUGAUCUCCUGGCUCUUCCCAGACUCCCCAGGACGGUCCCCCUCAGGGCCGUGGCACGCUGUGCCCAGUGCCUGGACAUUCUUUGCCUGAGUGUUCCUCCUCUCUCCAUUCAGAUCUUUGUGAAAUGGCAGAGCCUUGCGGGGGCUUCCCCCGACCACCAUUUCUAAAGUUAUCCCUCUUGUCGCUCUUUCUCUUUGCCCAGAUUUGUCACCAUCAAGCCUGUGGCCACCUGCCAUUAGUUUGUGUCUUUGCUCUUUUAUUGCCUACUCCCUGGGGGCAGGGUGGUCUAUUUGGUCCACUGCUGAGUCCCAGAGCUAAGACAGAGCUGGGCACAUGGCUCUGCCUGUAUUUCUGGAAGGAAGGAUGGAAGGAAGGAAGGACCUCUUUCUUCUGCUUAUUCAUGGGGUGCCUCCUCCGUGUGGCCCUGUGAUAGCUGCUUUUAGAAUAAGUGGCCUCAGCAGACAGGGUCACAGCUCACUCCCGCCAGGCUGGCCCCGAAGUGCCUGUGAGGGGCCCCAAACACAGCAGCUGCUGCUUCUGGUAUCCUUCCCCUUCCUACCAGGUGUGGACUGGUGGGUAGAAGAUGCACAGGCUGAAAGAGAUCUAAUGAAGUUUCAGGAAAAACUUAACAGCGAAACUGUGCAAAGAUGGAAGGGACUUCCUGAGGAGGAACUAUGCCGCCUGUCAGCCAAGGGAGGCUUGUGGAGGUCGUGGGGCCCUGGAGCCAGGGCCAGUCCUGGGACCUGCAGGCGUAGAGUCCAGACUCGGAGUCGGGGGCUGGGGGUGCCCUCGGGGUGGGCCAGGCCCUGAAGCUGGGAGCAGGCAGAGGUCACACAUCUGGCCAGGCCCAGGCAGCAGAAGCCACGGCUCCAGUCCCCUGUCCGAAGGCUGCUGGGCCGCGGCCAAGCGGCCAUGUUGGGACUCUGGAUCCUCCGACCGCAGGCCAGGCCUGGGAGACAGGAAAUCACGGGCUCAGGGCCCGAAAGGCCCCCAGCGGGCGCUUGCUCCCUCCCGCCGCCCACGGCGGCCUCGGGCCCCUGUGCCCCGCGCCCAUGGGGUUAACUCUCUCCCGGUCUCUCUCUGCUCCAAGUUGUUUUCCAAGCGAGGCAGAGAAUGGUUCUCUUGUUACCAACAUGGCUUCUGGGCAUUGGGUAAUGCGCUCCUCUUCUCGCGGCCGCGCCACAAAGGGACCUUUUGUUCGCCUCCCUGCCCCUCUCCCUGGCUCUUCCCGGCCCCCCACCCAGCCACCCACCCCACUCCCUCCUGGCCGCGCCUCCCGCCCCGUGCUGCACCCCCGGGACACCGGGAGUGACCGUGGCCUGGCCGUGGCGCCCUCCCUCCGCUGGCGCCCUGCGAGCGGGCGCGGGGCCGGGGGGCCGCGGCGGCCAUAUUGUGGGCGGCCAUGCGGCUUCGCGGAGGCCGCCGGGAGCAGGAUGUGGGGGCGCUGGGGUGCGAUGUACCGUCCUGGGGUGCACCUCCGCCCUCCACCCCAGGCCACCGUCCUGUGCUGAGACAAGUCGCCUUCUCACGUACCAUCUCACUUCAUCAGCACAGCAGCCUCGGGCCAGGAGUGACGGCCCAUCUUUCGGAGGUGGAGACUGAGGCUCCACAGGGCUGCAACCCACCCACCCCUUGAGAGGCCUGGAGGAUCCCGACAGCCCUGGCCCCUUGUCUGGAAUCACAGAAGCUGGAACCCUGGGGAGAUUGUGCUCAGAUGCUCCAUUCAACAAUUCGUCCAUUUCACGCUGUCCCAGCAUUUAUGGUGACGUGAAACAGAGCAAAGUGACUGCUCAUGGAACAUGCACACAGUGUCAGCAGCGUGCCGUCAGGUGUAACCUCAGGGCUGGGCUGGGGCCUUUGGGUCCUGGCGAGACGGGUAAAAUCAGUUGACUUGGUGAUGGAUGGGGCAUGACGGAGGCCCCCAGGUUUGCCCUCCAGAAACCGCAGUCCAGGAAGAGAGACAAAUCAGUAAAGGGUCAGCAUGCUGGAGACAGGCGGCCUGGGAUCUCAUCUAGACUGGAAGAUUGGGGAAGGAAGGCUUCCUGGAGAAGGUGACUGUGCCCGGAGCCUCAACAGAUGAAUAAAAGUUCACCAGGCAAAGAAAUGGAGGGAGAAGGCAGGAAAGGAGCUGGCGCUGGGGAUGAGUCUGGGAAGAAGGUGAAUGGUGUGUGUUGGGGUGGGGAGGCCCCACCAGGCCAGUGCACUGGAUCAGGGUGGGGCAGGAACAGUGGGAGAGCUAGACUGCUGAGGGCAGGGAGGAAGGGCUCCUGAAGACCCAGGGUGCCCUGAUAAGGUACAAGGACUGCAUCCUGAGGGCAGUGGAAUGGUCACUGAAGGAUUUGAAAGGGGUCCGAUAUGUGUUCUGGGAAGAUCUUAUGGGCUGGGUCUAUGCUGGGUUUAUUACUGUUUUCCCAGCACCCAGUUCAGUAACUGGCUUCCUAGGCGGCACCAGUGGUAAAGAACCUGCCUGCUGGUGCAGGAGAUGUAAGAGAUAUGGGUUCGAUCCCUGGGUUGGGAAGAUCCCUGGAGGAGGGUAUGGCAAUCCACUCCAGUAUUCUUGUCUGGAGAGUCCCAUGGACAGAGGAGCCUGGAGUGCUAUAGUCCAUAGGGUAGCAAAGAGUCAGACAUGACUAAAGUGACUUAGCAAGGUAAGUCACUAACGUGACUCAGCUCAGUAACUGAUCCACAGUAGGGUCUCGAUAAAUGUUUUCCAUCAAUAUAUGAUUACCAACGUGAUUACCACUGGAGGCAGUGGUUGACCCCAGCUGUGGGACCUUGGGCCUCAGUUUCCUUAUUUGUAAAAUGAGGGUAACAGCAUCUGCCUCCUGGGAAUGUCGUGAUGGUUAAAGAAAGCAGGGCAUGCGAGGGCUCCCUCGGUGUCCUGCACAUGGUCAGCCUGUCAUGACUGGCACAGGAGGUGCUGUGGGCAAGGUGGAGGUGAGGACCGGGCUCAGGAGCAGUGGAGUCACCUAGGGGAGAGAGUAAUAUUAACAGCAACAAUAAUGCUUAUAUAUUAGACACACUCUUCAUAUAUUUUAUUCAUACAGUCCUCAAGACAAGCGAUUGGCGAAGGCAUUCUUUUAUAGGACAUUUUUAUUUUAUCAUCUACCGAGGGACAGUGAGGCCUGGCGUGCUGCAGUCUACAGGGUUGCAAAGAGUCGGACAUAACUUGGUGACUGAACAACAACGAUUUUAUUGUCUAGGAAUCUGAGGCUUAGACAGGUGAGGUGACUUGCCUGAGGCUCCUUGGCCAGUGAGUGGGGGACAGAACUGCCUUGGACACAAAAGCCCAGCAUUAGACAUCAGAGCCCGGCUCGUGACCACUAAGCUGGAGAUGGAGGCAGGUCGGGGUGACCACCAGGGGGGGGAGAGUGGGGAGGACACAGUCGGACUGAUGGGCCGGGUGGGGAGGGCGCCCCUUGUGUCUGGUCUGACUAGGUGGACGGUCGUUCCAUUUCCUGAGUGAGGGGCACGGCAUGGGAAGGACAGGCAGGCUUGGGGAGGAAGGAAAUGCUCAGUCUGAGAGGCUGUUGGGAUGUCUGGGUGGGGAUGCCAGGGAGGUCUGGCGUCUAGGCUGGGGGGUCUGGAUGAGGGGGAAAUGAGCUCACAGGGCAAGUGGAAGGCAUGUGGGUGGGCGGAGGAGCCCAGGCCCUGGAGAUGAUGUCGAUAGCAGACUUUAUACAGCGUCUACUCUGCAUCAAACAUGAUCCUAAGUCCAGGUGUUAUUUAAAUUCUCACCAAACCCCGUGAGGAGGAACCAUCACCGCCCCUGCUUUAUAGAGGGGGAAACAGGGCAAGAGUUUGGUCUAGAAUGUCCAGAGCAGGUACCUCUGUAGAGACAGAAAGUAAACUAUGGUUACCUAGGGCUAGGGAAUUGAAAAAUGAUGGCUGAAGGGUACAGGGUUUCCUUCUGGGGGUGAUGAAAAUGUUCUGAAAUGAUAGCGCUGAUGAUGGUUGUACAGCUCUAUAAAUACACUAAAAAACACUGAAUUGUGCACUUUAAAAAUGUGACUUGUGCAGGACGUGAGUUACACAUCAAUAGAGCGGGCUUCCUGGUGGCUCAGUCGGUAACGAAUCCGCCUGCAACACAGGAGAUCUGGGUGCGAUCUCUGGGUUGGGGAGAUCCCCUGGAGAAGGAAAUGGCAACCAAUUCCAGUAUGCUUGCCUGGGAAAUCCCAUGGACAGAGGUGCCUGGAGGGCUACAGUCCAUGGGGUCACAAGAGCUGGACACGACUGAGCAACUAAACCACCACCAAAGCUGAGGGAACCAGCUGUGUAGCACAGAGAGCUCAGCUUGGUGUGGGAGGGAGGGGAUGUACGUAUACAUAGAGCUUUGUUACGCAGCAGAAACUCACAUAACCCUGCAAAACAAUUAUACUCCAGAAGGAGAAUCCGGUGAUACACACAAAAAAAGCUGAGAGAGAAAAAGACACUCAGCAGGAGGAGGAGGCAGGGCUUGGAGGGGCAGGGGAGCUUCGGGAGCUGGAAGGAGGACAGAGGGGCAGGGAAGCCCGGGCGUGGGGCAGAGGCAGUUUGGGUGAGAAGUUUGGACGAGAAGCUGGAGAAGGAUGCCGUCUGCAGCACUGAUUUACUCCCAGUGGUCCGGGGCUGACACCUGGACAUUCUUUGGCGUUAGUCAGUCCAGGUUCCCUGGUGACCUGGUCCACACUUGCGGGGGACCCAGCCCUGUGGGUGGACGGGCCCUUUUGGGAGAGAUCUCAGAGAAGCAAGGAGUGUUUUUAGACCUGGACAUCCAGGCCCCUGGAUGGAGAUUUCUCCACCUCAGGAAGCAGCUGACCUUCCACCAGCAGGUUUUGGAGGCUCGCUGCCCUUGACUUUGGGGGUGGAGGUUGGGGAGGGCUGAGGGUGGGAAAAUGCCUCGGUUGGGUCUUCCUGGAGGAGUGAGAGCCCCAGUCAACAGCUCACCUGGAAGCCUCAUACCUCAGCCUUUCCCAUAAGAGGGCUCCAGUGUCUGCUGGGAGACCAGGAGGCCGAGAGGGUGCGAAGUGAAGGCUGGGGUGCAGUGGUACCCCUCCCUUUCGACACUGAUGGUGGUCACCAGCAGGAAGACACUCAGGCCUCCUGACUGAGAAGGGGGGAUCCAAACGGCCCCAGUGCCCAGAGCUGCGACUGGCCCGUGGUCCCAGCCAUGGGUGGAGGUGCCUGGAGAGGCUCCGGGGUCCCCUGGGUGUGAGCGGGGCGUGGGGUAUCUGAAGAGCAGGCGAGGCAGUGGCUGUGGGCAGGCCACCGCGCCCCUUCUGUGUUGGGGUCCAUUCAGCACUGCCACAUCCCCACCCCCGACUCUAGACCUCAGGCCUUGUCUUUCUGAUGCAGGAAGCCGGCAGGGAGACCAGGCCAGCCCUGCGUUCGGGACCUCCGUGGGGCCUGGCUCCCAUGAGGGAGGCGGAGCGCCUGUCAUUGUCUCAGGAGACUGAGGCUCGGAGGGGCCUUGCUGGAGUCCUCCCACCCCCAUCAGGCACUUCUCCUUGGGGAGCCCCUCACGGGCCCACUCGGUGUCUAUUUCUUCUCCUUUUUGAUGUGACUGUGAUACCUUAGAGCUUUGAUUUCCUAGAUCAGAGCAGAAUAAGAGAAGAUCAUUAGAAACAUGCAGGGGCAGGAAUUCCCUAGUGGCCCAGUGACUAAGACUCUGUGCUUUCAAUGCAGGGGGCCCAGGUUCGAUCCCUGGUCAAGGAAGUAGAUGCCAUGUGCCACAACUAAAGCUCCCGCGUGCUGCAAUGAAGAUCAAAGAUCCUGCGUGGGGCAACUGAGACCCAGUGCAGUCAAAAAUAAAUAUUUAAAAAGAAGAAAUAUACAGGGAGAAAGAGAAAUGGUUGCAAAAAUCUAAACAUUUGCUAAGAGGGUUUGUGGUAAAGACUACGGACUUCCCUCAUAGCUCAGUUGGUGAAGAAUCUGCCUGCAGUGCAGGAGACCUGUGUUUGAUUCCUGGGUUGGGAAGAGGGGGAGGCUGAAUUCGUAGGACAUUUUGUUAAAGCAAACUAGGUAUAAAUAAGGACUUAUGCCCACAGAUGUCUACUGCAACUGGCCACCACCUCAGUGCUCAGCAGUCCCUUGGGGCUUGUUGAAAUGAAUUAUAGCACUUCCUAUGACAGAAUAUGAUGUAGCCAGUAAAUAUGACACUUAGCAAAAAAUUGUAAUUACAUAGGAAACACUUCGGUAUAACAUAAAAUCAGGAUAUAAAAUACGUGCCUGUAUGUUACAUCAAUAAAAAGAAAAAAGAAAAAACUAAAUGCCGUGAGCUUGACUUCAUUUAAAGACAUAUAAGGAGAAAGUGGAAAGAAAACACCCCCAAAUUCUAACCUUAUUUAUUUCUGGCUGGUGAUUUUUAAAUUUUUAGUACUUGUUCUUUAUUUUAUUUCCAAAUUUCUACACUAAAUACGUUCAGGUUUUAAAGUUAUUUGAAAUAAAAGCAAAAAGUGUAUCUUGUAUUUAAGAGAAAGUCUCAUUUCUCUGAAAAAAUGUUUAUGUGGAUGUGUAAGUUCUUCGAGUGUAUUUUAUACUCUCUGUUCUUCAGUUUGAGGCAUCAAAACGCAGAGACAUCACUUUGCCGACAAUGGUCUGUAUAGUCAAAGCUAUGGUUUUUCCGGUAGUCAUGUACGGAUGUGAGAGUUGAACCAUAAAGAGAAUUUAGUGCCGAAAAAUUGAUGCUUUCAAACAUCAAGAGUGGUGCUGAAGAGUCCCUUGGACAGUAAGGAGAUCAAACCAGUCAAUCUGAAAGGAAAUCAACUCUGAAUAUUCAUUGGAAGGACUGAUGCUGAAGCUGAAGCUCCAAUAAUUUGGGCACCUGAUAUGAAGAAAGACUCAUUGGAAAAGACCCCGAUGCUGGGAAAGAUUGAGGGCAGGAGGAAAAGAGGGAACCAGGGAUGAGAUGGUUGGAUGGCAUCACCGACUCAAUGGACACGAGUGUGAGCAAACUCAGGGAGAUAGUGAGGGACAGGGAAGCCUGAUGCGCUGCAGUCCAUGGGGUUGCAAAGAGUCGGACAUGACUUAGUGACUGAACAACAAAAGGAGCUUGAACCAGGAGAGCAUUUGACAACAAGUAACAGAAGAUCCCACUAACAGAGACAGGGUUACUUUUUUCCUGUAACAGGAAGUCCCCGUUAGGCCAGCCGGGACUGAUGUGGUCCAGUGAUGCUGCGGCAGAAACAGACCUCCUGUUGUCCACCCUGAAAUUGAUGCUGGAUAACCUCAGGCAGACGGGGCAGCCCAGGGCAGAGUGUGUUUGUGGGAGGCUAUGCCAGAGGAAGAGAUCUGCCCAAGGUCACACUGCUGCUCAGUGAGCUGAAUGACCAAAGGAUGGAUGGUUGCCAAGAAGGCAGGAUUAGAACCUGGCUGUUAGCUUCUCCACACUGCCAAGUCUAGCCAUCUGGGCAUGUGAGGCCUCAGAAAAUCCGGCCCUGCUGACCCUCCUGCUUAGCACCGAACUGCUGCGGCUCACACGCCCCUACCCGUUUACUCUGUGCUUUUGCUCACGCUCU